ensembl:lncRNA
CCACAUCUACCNNNNNNNNNNNNNNNNNNNNNNNNNGACCCCAACCGGGUCCGACCCCAACCCGGACCGACCCCAUAACGAGCCGACCCCAACCCGAUCCGAUCUCAGCCCGGUCCGACCCUAACCCGGGCUGACCCCAUACCGGGCCGACCCCAACCCAGACCGACCCCAACCGGGUCCGACCCCAACCCGCUCUGACCCCAUAACGAGCCGACCCCAACCCUGUCCGAUCCCAACCCGGUCCGACCCGAACCCGCUCUGACCCCACAUGUUUCCCCAUAGGUUUCCUGUCAGUUCGGCUCCGGUUCCGCUGGUCCCGGUUCUGUUCCUCAGCUCGUCUCGGAGCCCUGCGGAUGUUCCCUGUCCCGGGGCUCCCCCCGCGCCCCCCCCCGCCCCGUUCCGUGCUGCAGGACGGACCCCCCGCCCCCUCCCCCGGGACCCCCCAGCGCCUCCUCGUCCCCCGCCGGGUCCGGCAGUUCUCGGUGCUGCAGGCCCGCUCGGAUGAGGAGGGGGCGGCCGGGCUGAAAUCCCUGCGGGCUGAAGGAGGAGGAGGAGGGAGGACGAUGGGGGGCAACACGAGUGAGGAGACCCCCGGGAUGGGGGCGGGGGGCGGCUCAGCUGCAGCGGGGGGGCUCCUCCUGCGCCGUGUCCCGACCCCCAACACCUACAUGGACGACCCCUUCAGGCAGCCCCCCACAUCCACGGCCCCCCGGCCCCGCUGCUCCAACACCGAGAGGAGGGAGAGCUCGCUCAGGAGACCCCCAUCUGCAGGGCCUGGAGGCAGCACCGUGUCCCUGCAUGGAGGUGAGGAGGGGGCUGCAGCACAGCAGAGAUGGGGGAUGGAUGGUGCUGUGUCCUCCAGGGCUGCUGGGGGCUGGGAUGUGUCCCCCCUCCAUCCAUCCCUUCAUCCUCCCUCCCUCUCUCCUCCAUCCCUCCCUCCUCCUCCCUUGUAUCUUUUCUCCUUCCUCCAUCCCUCCUUAUUUCCUUCCAUCCUCUCCCCACCCAUCCUCCCUCCAUCGAGCCCCCUUUCCUUCCUCCUUCCACCCUUCCUCCAUCCAUCUUCCAUCUUUUCUUCCCCCAUCCUUCCUCCAUCCUUCCCAUACCCUCCAUCCCUCCAUCCCUCCUCCAUCUAUCCCUCCUCCAUCCCUACAUCCCUUCCUCCAUCCCUCCCCCCUCCAUCCCUCCCUCCAUCCUCUCCAUCCUUCUUCAUCCUCUUUCCUCCCCCCAUCCUCCCCCUAUGGGCGGCUAAGUAUUGUUUACUAGGGGGUAAUACGGGGGGGUAAUCAGGGGGCCCUAAUAUGGGUUAUAGGGGUAAUGGAAUGGGUUAUAAUGGGUUUGGUAAUGGGGGGUUUAUAGGGGGGGAAUUGGGGGGAUAUAGGGGGUAAUGGGGGGUUGAUGAUGGGGGUUAUAGGAGGGGGGUUGGAUACUGGGAUAAUGGGGUUUAUAGGGGGUAAUGGGGGUUUAUAGGGGGUAAUGGGGUUAUAUGGGGUUAAUAGGGGUUAUAUGGGGUAAAGGGAGGUUAUAGGGGGCUAAUAUGGGUUAUUUAGGGGGUCAGUGGGACGGGCUAUUUAGGGGCUAAUAUGC